rnacentral:lncRNA from 1 species
GAUUAAGUGGGAUUGAUCCCAGGGAUACAGGAUGGUUCAAUGUAUGCAAAUGAUAAACAUGAUGCAAUAGGGUACUAGAAGUGUUGGCAAGAGAAAUUAGGCAAGAGAAAGAAAGAAAGGGUGUCCAAAUUGGAAAGAAUGAUCCAUGUUUGCAGAUGACAUGAUUUUAUACCCAGAAAACUCAAAUAUGCCAUCUAAAAAUUUGUUUGAACUUACAAAUUCAGUAAAAUGCCAGAAUACAAACAUCAACAUAUACAAGAUAAUAGCAUUUUUAUGCACCAACAAUAAACUUGCUGAAAAAAUAAUUAAGAAAACAAUCCCAUUCACAAUAUCCACAAAAAAUAAAGUGUGUAGGAAAAACAUUUAAUGAAGGAAGAGAAAGGUCUCUAAAAUGAAAUUUAUAAAACCCUAAUGAAAGACAUUCUCAAGGAUACAAAUAAAGGACAGAUGUCCCAUGUUCAUGGGUCAAAGAAUAGAUAUUGUCCAAAUGACCAUAGUACCCAAAGUCAUGUGUAGAUUCAGUGCGAUUCCCAUAAAGAUCAGUAAUGUUUUUCACAGAUACAGAAUUUCUAAAAUUCAAAUUCACAUCAAACCACAAAAGAUCCUGAAGAGCUGAAGUGACCCUGAGGUGGUGGCAGGAAACAUUGCAGGGGUAUUGUGGUCUGGAUGACAGGUGUCCCCCCAAAGCUCACAGGUGCGUCAAUGCAAGAAGAUUCAGAGCAGAAAUGACUGGGUUAUGAUAGCCUUAACUUAAUCAGUGAAUUAAUCACCUGAUGAGAUUAAUCUCGAGUGGUGGC